UUUCUGCCACCGUAAUACACUUCACGCAUGGGCAUAAUGGAAUAGGACCCUGUCCUCCUAUUUUCAGUUGGUUUUGGCAGCGCGAGGACUAGGGUAAUGAUUAAUAGGGAUAGUUGGGGGCAUUAAUAUUUAAUUGUCAGAGGUGAAAUUCUUGGAUUUAUGAAAGAUUAACUUCUGCGAAAGCAUCUGCCAAGGAUGUUUUCAUUAAUCAAGAACGAAAGUUAGGGGAUCGAAGACGAUCAGAUACCGUCGUAGUCUUAACCAUAAACGAUGCCGACCAGCGAUUAGGAGACGUUGAAUACAAAACACCACCAUCGGUGCGGUUGUCCUUGGCG
rnacentral:rRNA from 1 species